rnacentral:rRNA from 1 species
UUGACCUCAAAUCAGGUAGGACUACCCGCUGAACUUAAGCAUAUCAAUAAGCGGAGGAAAAGAAACUAACAAGGAUUCCCCUAGUAACUGCGAGUGAAGCGGGAAAAGCUCAAAUUUGAAAUCUGGCGGUUCCUUGG